rnacentral:rRNA from 1 species
AGCGUACACGGUGGAUGCCCUGGCAGUCAGAGGCGAUGAAGGACGUGCUAAUCUGCGAUAAGCGUCGGUAAGGUGAUAUGAACCGUUAUAACCGGCGAUUUCCGAAUGGGGAAACCCAGUGUGAUUCGUCACACUAUCAUUAACUGAAUCCAUAGGUUAAUGAGGCGAACCGGGGGAACUGAAACAUCUAAGUACCCCGAGGAAAAGAAAUCAACCGAGAUUCCCCCAGUAGCGGCGAGCGAACGGGGAGCAGCCCAGAGCCUGAAUCAGUGUGUGUGUUAGUGGAAGCGUCUGGAAAGGCGCGCGAUACAGGGUGACAGCCCCGUACACAAAAAUGCACAUGCUGUGAGCUCGAUGAGUAGGGCGGGACACGUGGUAUCCUGUCUGAAUAUGGGGGGACCAUCCUCCAAGGCUAAAUACUCCUGACUGACCGAUAGUGAACCAGUACCGUGAGGGAAAGGCGAAAAGAACCCCGGCGAGGGGAGUGAAAAAGAACCUGAAACCGUGUACGUACAAGCAGUGGGAGCACAGAGCAAUCUGUGUGACUGCGUACCUUUUGUAUAAUGGGUCAGCGACUUAUAUUCUGUAGCAAGGUUAACCGAAUAGGGGAGCCGAAGGGAAACCGAGUCUUAACUGGGCGUUAAGUUGCAGGGUAUAGACCCGAAACCCGGUGAUCUAGCCAUGGGCAGGUUGAAGGUUGGGUAACACUAACUGGAGGACCGAACCGACUAAUGUUGAAAAAUUAGCGGAUGACUUGUGGCUGGGGGUGAAAGGCCAAUCAAACCGGGAGAUAGCUGGUUCUCCCCGAAAGCUAUUUAGGUAGCGCCUCGUGAAUUCAUCUCCGGGGGUAGAGCACUGUUUCGGCAAGGGGGUCAUCCCGACUUACCAACCCGAUGCAAACUGCGAAUACCGGAGAAUGUUAUCACGGGAGACACACGGCGGGUGCUAACGUCCGUCGUGAAGAGGGAAACAACCCAGACCGCCAGCUAAGGUCCCAAAGUCAUGGUUAAGUGGGAAACGAUGUGGGAAGGCCCAGACAGCCAGGAUGUUGGCUUAGAAGCAGCCAUCAUUUAAAGAAAGCGUAAUAGCUCACUGGUCGAGUCGGCCUGCGCGGAAGAUGUAACGGGGCUAAACCAUGCACCGAAGCUGCGGCAGCGACGCUGAUGCGUUGUUGGGUAGGGGAGCGUUCUGUAAGCCUGUGAAGGUGUGCUGUGAGGCAUGCUGGAGGUAUCAGAAGUGCGAAUGCUGACAUAAGUAACGAUAAAGCGGGUGAAAAGCCCGCUCGCCGGAAGACCAAGGGUUCCUGUCCAACGUUAAUCGGGGCAGGGUGAGUCGACCCCUAAGGCGAGGCCGAAAGGCGUAGUCGAUGGGAAACAGGUUAAUAUUCCUGUACUUGGUGUUACUGCGAAGGGGGGACGGAGAAGGCUAUGUUGGCCGGGCGACGGUUGUCCCGGUUUAAGCGUGUAGGCUGGUUUUCCAGGCAAAUCCGGAAAAUCAAGGCUGAGGCGUGAUGACGAGGCACUACGGUGCUGAAGCAACAAAUGCCCUGCUUCCAGGAAAAGCCUCUAAGCAUCAGGUAACAUCAAAUCGUACCCCAAACCGACACAGGUGGUCAGGUAGAGAAUACCAAGGCGCUUGAGAGAACUCGGGUGAAGGAACUAGGCAAAAUGGUGCCGUAACUUCGGGAGAAGGCACGCUGAUAUGUAGGUGAAGUCCCUCGCGGAUGGAGCUGAAAUCAGUCGAAGAUACCAGCUGGCUGCAACUGUUUAUUAAAAACACAGCACUGUGCAAACACGAAAGUGGACGUAUACGGUGUGACGCCUGCCCGGUGCCGGAAGGUUAAUUGAUGGGGUCAGCGCAAGCGAAGCUCUUGAUCGAAGCCCCGGUAAACGGCGGCCGUAACUAUAACGGUCCUAAGGUAGCGAAAUUCCUUGUCGGGUAAGUUCCGACCUGCACGAAUGGCGUAAUGAUGGCCAGGCUGUCUCCACCCGAGACUCAGUGAAAUUGAACUCGCUGUGAAGAUGCAGUGUACCCGCGGCAAGACGGAAAGACCCCGUGAACCUUUACUAUAGCUUGACACUGAACAUUGAGCCUUGAUGUGUAGGAUAGGUGGGAGGCUUUGAAGUGUGGACGCCAGUCUGCAUGGAGCCGACCUUGAAAUACCACCCUUUAAUGUUUGAUGUUCUAACGUUGACCCGUAAUCCGGGUUGCGGACAGUGUCUGGUGGGUAGUUUGACUGGGGCGGUCUCCUCCUAAAGAGUAACGGAGGAGCACGAAGGUUGGCUAAUCCUGGUCGGACAUCAGGAGGUUAGUGCAAUGGCAUAAGCCAGCUUGACUGCGAGCGUGACGGCGCGAGCAGGUGCGAAAGCAGGUCAUAGUGAUCCGGUGGUUCUGAAUGGAAGGGCCAUCGCUCAACGGAUAAAAGGUACUCCGGGGAUAACAGGCUGAUACCGCCCAAGAGUUCAUAUCGACGGCGGUGUUUGGCACCUCGAUGUCGGCUCAUCACAUCCUGGGGCUGAAGUAGGUCCCAAGGGUAUGGCUGUUCGCCAUUUAAAGUGGUACGCGAGCUGGGUUUAGAACGUCGUGAGACAGUUCGGUCCCUAUCUGCCGUGGGCGCUGGAGAACUGAGGGGGGCUGCUCCUAGUACGAGAGGACCGGAGUGGACGCAUCACUGGUGUUCGGGUUGUCAUGCCAAUGGCACUGCCCGGUAGCUAAAUGCGGAAGAGAUAAGUGCUGAAAGCAUCUAAGCACGAAACUUGCCCCGAGAUGAGUUCUCCCUGACUCCUUGA